rnacentral:rRNA from 1 species
AUACGGGGGGGGCGAGCGUUGUCCGGAAUCAUUGGGCGUAAAGGGUGAGUAGGCGGGAUGGUAAGUCAGAGGUGAAAGUCCAGGGCUCAACUCUGGAUCUGCCUCUGAUACUGCUGUCCUUGAGUGCGGGAGAGGGAAGUGGAAUUCCCGGUGUAGCGGUGAAAUGCGUAGAUAUCGGGAAGAACACCAGUGGCGAAGGCGGCUUCCUGGCCCGCAACUGACGCUGAAUCACGAAAGCGUGGGGAGCAAACAGGAGUAGAAACCCGUGUAGUCC